rnacentral:rRNA from 1 species
UACUGCGGAGGGAUCAUUACCGAGUUUACAACUCCCAAACCCAAUGUGAACGUUACCAAACUGUUGCCUCGGCGGGAUCUCUGCCCCGGGUGCGUCGCAGCCCCGGACCAAGGCGCCCGCCGGAGGACCAACCAAAACUCUUUUUGUAUACCCCCUCGCGGGUUUUUUAUAAUCUGAGCCUUCUCGGCGCCUCUCGUAGGCGUUUCGAAAAUGAAUCAAAACUUUCAACAACGGAUCUCUUGGUUCUGGCAUCGAUGAAGAACGCAGCGAAAUGCGAUAAGUAAUGUGAAUUGCAGAAUUCAGUGAAUCAUCGAAUCUUUGAACGCACAUUGCGCCCGCCAGUAUUCUGGCGGGCAUGCCUGUCCGAGCGUCAUUUCAACCCUCGAACCCCUCCGGGGGGUCGGCGUUGGGGAUCGGCCCUCCCUUAGCGGGUGGCCGUCUCCGAAAUACAGUGGCGGUCUCGCCGCAGCCUCUCCUGCGCAGUAGUUUGCACACUCGCAUCGGGAGCGCGGCGCGUCCACAGCCGUUAAACACCCAACUUCUGAAAUGUUGACCUCGGAUCAGGUAGGAAUACCCGCUGA